CCAGGUAACCCCAAAACGCCCUCAAAUCCCCCCCAAAUCCUCCCCAGGUGAUCCCAGGUGUGCUCAGGUGCGCCCAUGUGACCCCGGACCCACCUCCAGGUGCCUCCAGGUGCCUCCAGGUGAUCUCAGGUGAUCCCAGGUGUGCUCAGGUGCGCCCAGGUGACCCCGGACCCACCUCCAGGUGCCUCCAGGUGAUCUCAGGUGAGCACAGGUAACCCCAAAACGCCCCCAACCCCCCCCCCCCCCCCCCCCCCCCCCCCCCCCCCCCCCCCCCCCCCCCCCCCCCCCCCCCCCCCCC
rnacentral:lncRNA from 12 species